ensembl:lncRNA
CUUGGGAUUGGAUAACUCAGACCGGACCUCCGUUUUGCUCCAGGAGCCACCCCCACUCCGGGAGACGACUGGAGAGCAGCUGCUCCUGGAGGAGACACGCCGACUCCAGCUGGGGAGCCCCGCUGGCUGAGACUCCAGAGAAGUCAAAUCUGGGAGGGAAGGCCUUUCAUUUCUUUAGAUUUUAAUUUGCAAAAGGAAGGGAACUCCCGUGUUGAGCUUUGAUUUCUUUCCUAGAAUUUAAUAAGGGACGGGGCGCCACAGAGCUCAAGUCCAGGGUAUUUUUAAGCUGUUGGUAUCGUGUUCCCUGGAGUAUUUUUAUGCUCUCAUGUGGUGUUUGUGGUACGGCUUCCUCUGCUGAGCUAUAUCAGACAGCGUGGCUUGAAAUCUGAGAUGGGAAAUGUAAUCGGGGUGAAUUUUUGGCCUAGGGUGCGUGGGGACUUGGAAUGAUUUUACUUAAUACUCUGUUCUGACCAUUUCAGAGGCUCUGGGCUAACAGCUGAAGCACCCACCCCACAGGGCCUGGGCAGUGAUGGGCAGCAUGGCCGGAAGCUGUGAGGGCACGGCUCCUCCGCUGGCCUGCUCCCCUGAGAGCACAGGUGUCUGGGGCUGACUAUAGGCUUGGCUGUUUAGCCAAUUGGUUAAGUGGACAAAACUUGGAUGGAGUUCGGCCAGAACCCUGAUCCCACCUGUCUUCUGUUUCCAUGGAGGAGAGGCUCUCUUCCUGCCGUCUGCUCACUCAGUUGUCCCAAGGACAGUGGAGUCGCUAACAUAUGGAAAGCCGCGUGCUGACCAGGAAGUGGAGUGGGAGUGUUAAAGUCAGGCCAAGCCUGCGCACGUAUGACACGAUCCAGAAGAGUUCUUUAAUCAAGGGCUUUAUGAGACGGACAAAAAAAAUGGAUGGAACAUGGCCGAGCCAGACCCACACACAGAGAGGAGAGAUAAGGACUCCUGUGUUUGCUCUAUGCUUAACUACAGGAGAGACGCCGUGGGUUCUGAUCACACUUUCAAGUCCUGUAAGGAACUUUGGAUAACCAGCCUGCCUGCCUCAUCUCGCCUCUUUCAGCCUCCUCUGUUCUAGGCUGGCUGUGUUCUCUGCAUCCGGGGAGAAGUCUCUGCGCGUUCUAACGCCGCCCCGUUGACCUCUCAUCUUCCCCACUACCCACGGCUGAGGCCUGAGCCUGCUACGUGACCGUGCGCCGCGGAAUGUGGAGAGGCUCGUCUGUUGCCACAGCACCUACAGUCAUACAGAACCUUCCGGUGGUAACCACGUGACUUGAUGAGACAGCCAAAAUGCAAUUUAUAGGAUCUGCUGGGAGUCACGUGGCAAAUCCACGCCUAUGGGCUUGGCGAGUGCGGGCAUGCUGUUUGCGAGUACAGAGCGGCACCAGAGAACAGGAGUGACUUGUGCUCAGAACAAUUCAGUCAUUUCCACGUAAGGGGGAAAUGAUCAUCAGACAUGUGGAUCCAUCGCAGUCACCUGAGUUGGAACCCUGGCUGCAUCGAGCUGUGUGGCCUGAGACAAGUUACUCAGCCGUUCAGCUUCAUCUUCCUUACCUCCAAAGUGGAGAUAACCAUGCUCAUUGUAAGGAUGAAAAGGUAGGCCAGAUAAAAAUUUCGGUCGUGGUUUUUUGUAGUAUUAUUACUUUUUCAGCUGUUUCUAAAGCUGUCAUCGUUCAGGUGGCUGUGCUGCAGGGAUCAGUGGGUGCCAGGGCUGUAAGAGCAGGGCCGUGAAGACCAUCGAAGAUUCG